rnacentral:misc_RNA from 1 species
AUGCGUUGUUGGUGAUGACAUUCGUCUAGAGGUGAUGCGGUGUCAUGUUUCCUGUGUAUCCUGGUUUUGAGCUAUUGAGCUUAAAACACGUGGAUUAUCGGUUUGUGACACGGCAUCGCUCYCUUGGUUGAUGAAAGUCAUCCAAUGAUGCUACCGUGGUUUGUUUGUUUUCUUCUCGCAUCGCUCGGUGCAUUCUGUGGUCAUUUUGACUGUUGGCAGCUUGCUUGGCAAUUGAGCUUGGUGGGUUGCUACUGGUUGGGUGUCUUCGGGGAUGUCUACCGUAAAGGUGCAUGAGUGGUGUUUGGUUUGUUACGGGUGGUUGGCUCUUUGCUUGCGCAACAACUUCCACCCGGCAUACCUCUUCAGUCUUGUUUCAAUGCUUGUAUUGCAUUGAACGCACGGUGGGUUUCUUGUGUUGCAUGCCUAAUUAAUGGUAUCGCUUGAUGUAUUGGUUUUGCUUUCGUCUUGCGUCGCCUAUGCGAUGUGAGAUGAACCUUGAAGCAGCCUUCAUGAUCCACUCUUUUGAUGCAUACGCAUUGAUUUUGUGGCCCAUUGAGUGUUGCUUGGUCUCAUGGAUAUGGAACCUGGUGUGGGCAUGGAAUCUUAAUGGUUCCUUGUYUGCCCAAGUUUAGCUUUUMUAAAACGAUUGUCUAUCM